GAAAUCAGUUCAGCACUAAGUCACUUUGUCUAUAUGGCAAAUGUGAGAUGCAGUGUAUGGAACAUCAAUAUUCUAGUAUGAGAAAUUAACGAUUUAAGUCCUUCUUAAAUGAGGCCAUUUACCCAUAGAGGGUGCCAGGCCCGUAUAACGUUAAUGAUUAUUAGAUGGUGUUUCCAAAGAGUCGUGUUGCUUGAUAGUGCAGCACUAAGUGGGUGGUAAACUCCAUCUAAAACUAAAUAUAACCAUGAGACCGAUAGUAAACAAGUACCGUGAGGGAAAGUUGAAAAGAACUCUGAAUAGAGAGUUAAAUAGUACGUGAAACUGCUUAGAGGUUAAGCCCGAUGAACCUGAAUAUCCGUUAUGGAAAAUUCAUCAUUAGACUUGUAAUAUUUAAACAAUAUUAUAAUAAUAGUGUGCAUUUUUUCCAUAUAAGGACAUUGUAAUCUAUUAGUUAAAAGUAAUUUAUCAAAAAAUUUUAGAUAAAUGUUUAUUUAAAUUAAAGUGCUUGCAUUUUAACAUAAAAUAAAUGUCUUUAAUUUGAUAAAGUGCUGAUAGAUUUAUAUGAAUACAGUGCGUUAAUUUUUCGGAAUUAUAUAAUGGCAUGAUUAUCAUUGAUUUUUGUGUUUAUUAUAUGCACUUGUAUGAUUAACAAUGCGAA
rnacentral:rRNA from 1 species